UUUCUUGUAGGUGCCUGAAACCAAACAUGUCCAAGACAGGAUUUUCCUCUUCCCACCUCCACCCGGAUCCCUGAUCUGCUCCCUCUGCAUCCUCCAUUCUUCAGAUUUUAAGCCCAAGAACUCACUUAUUCAGCUCAAAGUAGUGAUUGCAACAGAGAAUUGUGACGUGUAUUUGUGAUGCCUUCCUGGUCAUCUCCCUCCGUGGUCCUUGCUUCCUGGAAUUUCCCUCCUGCCUAUCUUUUCAUCAUCCCAACACAAGCACUGUCCCUGCUUUAAGGAUAUACAGUAAUGACUUGAGUUAAUCAGAAGACAGCAUGCUGCAUUCCUUGAGGCCACACAAGCUUUGCUGUACUUGGCACACACACAAAUGGCUGUUUUAUUUUGCAGAUAAUUCAUAGGUUUGUUUUUAGUCACUAAUUCCUUCAAAGUGACAAUGCAUUACAUCAUUUCAGAUAUUGUCCACAAGACAGAACCAUGUGAUUCAACACAGGUGAUGUAUUAAAAGUAAAAAAAUGAGGAUGGUUACAAAGCACGAUGGUUUGGUUUUCACAUAGUAACAAUAGAGACCCUAUUCAUCCAAGUCGUCUCAUGCCACUCUUGUGCUUAAAGCCUGCUGGUGGCUUCCCAUCUCACUUGGAAUAAAAACCAGGGUCCUACUGUGGCCCCUCUCGCCCUAUUCUUUUGCCCCAGUGGCCAUGGGUGUCAGCUUCCUUGUAGCUGCCAGGCACCCACUGACCUCCUGGAGCCGUUGCGUUUUCUGUUUCCUCUCCCUGGAAUUCUCUUCCACAGAUUUGGGCCAGGAUUACCCCUUAGUUUCCCAGUCUGUUUUGCUUCCUGUUUUGUCUCUAGUACCUAAACAGUGCCCCUCACCUGAUAUACACAAUAUUUAUGAGUAGAUGGAUGAUUUUGAUUAAUGAAAUACAAAAGAAAGAAAGAAAAAGUAAGGAAGUGAGGGAGGGAGGAAAGGAAGAAGGAAGAAACAUUUUCUAGGUUGUUCUAUUUAGGAUAGUUCUAUCUGAUAUUUUUCAGUUAAUCAAUGGCUUCUAUUUUGCAUAUUAUUAUCAUAUUGGAUCCAUGAAAUUUCCAAAGUACAACAAUGUAAAAUUAAUCAAUAUUACUUGCAACAAUCUUUUCCAAAUCUUCCAGAAAACAUUAAACAUACUGUGACAAAUGGUUCAUUGGCUAUUCAUAAGAUAGGGAUGGAGAGUUAGUGCUCUGUGUGAUUUUUGGUUGAGAAUGGCGGGGAGUCACUAGACCAGGGUCAUGAACACUAGACUUGUCACAGGACCUUCUCUUGAGAGAAAUCUGUAGCCAGAUACUUUUUCCUAACUUGCUAUUCAAUCAUUAGCAACAGGCCUGACACUUGGUACAUUAGGCAGGGAGGCUUGCCUGGUCUUAAAACAGGUCUUAGAAGUCAAUCCAAGGCUAGCAGAGCCCUAGCUUCUCACAAACAUGGAACAUUCAACUAGUGGCACAGUGAGAUGACAGUUGCAUUACACAUUCUUCUAGAACACUCCCUUUCAGGGAAGCAGCAAUCUCCUUAGCAUCCUCUGGAGUAAAAAAUAAUUGCCAUAACAAAUCGAUUAA